UGCCAGGAACCAGAAUCGAACUGGUGACACUAAGAUUUUCAAUCUUAUGCUCUAACCGACUGAGCUAUCCCGGC
rnacentral:tRNA from 2 species